rnacentral:rRNA from 1 species
GACGGAAGGUGCAAGCGUUGCUCGGAAUCACUGGGCGUAAAGGGUGCGUAGGCGGCUUCGCAAGUCGAGUGUGAAAUCCCCGAGCUUAACUUGGGAAUUGCGCUCGAAACUACGGAGCUGGAGUGUGGCAGAGGAAGGUGGAAUUCCACGUGUAGCGGUGAAAUGCGUAGAGAUGUGGAGGAACACCGAUGGCGAAGGCAGCCUUCUGGGCCAACACUGACGCUCAUGCACGAAAGCGUGGGGAGCAAACAGG